GAUGAACGCUGGCGGCGUGCCUAAUACAUGCAAGUAGAACGCUGAAGGAGGAGCUUGCUCUUCUGGAUGAGUUGCGAACGGGUGAGUAACGCGUAGGUAACCUGCCUGGUAGCGGGGGAUAACUAUUGGAAACGAUAGCUAAUACCGCAUGACAACAGUUAUUGCAUGAUAACUGUUUAAAAGGGGCAACUGCUCCACUACCAGAUGGACCUGCGUUGUAUUAGCUAGUUGGUGAGGUAACGGCUCACCAAGGCGACGAUACAUAGCCGACCUGAGAGGGUGGUCGGCCACACUGGGACUGGGACACGGCCCAGACUCCUACGGGAGGCAGCAGUAGGGAAUCUUCGGCAAUGGACGGAAGUCUGACCGAGCAACGCCGCGUGAGUGAAGAAGGUUUUCGGAUCGUAAAGCUCUGUUGUAAGAGAAGAACGAGUGUGAGAGUGGAAAGUUCACACUGUGACGGUAUCUUACCAGAAAGGGACGGCUAACUACGUG
rnacentral:rRNA from 1 species